GACGAACGCUGGCGGCGUGCUUAACACAUGCAAGUCGAACGGGCCUGUCUUCUUUUUUGGGGGUGGGUUGAGUGGCGAACGGGUGAGUAUCACGUGAGUAACCUGCCCUUCGGUCCUGGAUAACCGCUUGAAAGGGCGGCUAAUACGGGGUGGUCCGGUUGGUCCGCAUGGGCUGGUCGGGAUAGAUUCACUGUUUUUGGUGUUUCGGCGGGGGAUGGGCUCGCGGCCUAUCAGCUUGUUGGUGGGGUGAUGGCCUACCAAGGCGGUGACGGGUAGCCGGCCGGAGAGGGUGGGCGGCCACACUGGGACUGAGAUACGGCCCAGACUCCUGCGGGAGGCAGCGGUGGGGGGUAUUGCACAAUGGGCGGAAGCCUGAUGCAGCGACGUCGCGUGAGGGAUGGAGGCCUUCGGGUUGUGAACCUCUGUUUCCGGUGGUGAAGGCCCUGUCCGUGUGGUGGGGUUGACGGUAGCCGGGGAUGAAGCGCCGGCUAACUACGUG
rnacentral:rRNA from 1 species